GACGAACGCUGGCGGCGUGCUUAACACAUGCAAGUCGAACGGAAAGGCCCUGCUUUUGUGGGGUGCUCGAGUGGCGAACGGGUGAGUAACACGUGAGUAACCUGCCCUUGACUUUGGGAUAACUUCAGGAAACUGGGGCUAAUACCGGAUAGGAGCUCCUGCUGCAUGGUGGGGGUUGGAAAGUUUCGGCGGUUGGGGAUGGACUCGCGGCUUAUCAGCUUGUUGGUGGGGGAGUGGCUUACCCAGGCUUUGACGGGUAGCCGGCCUGUGAGGGUGACCGGCCACAUUGGGACUGCGAUACGGCCCAGACUCCUACGGGAGGCAGCAGUGGCGAAUAUUGCACAACGGUCGGAAGCCUGAUGCAGCAACGCCGCGUUCGGGAUGACGGCCUGCUGGUUGUAAACCGCUUUCGCCUGUGACGAAGCGUGAGUGACGGUAAUGGGUAAAGAAGCACCGGCUAACUACGUG
rnacentral:rRNA from 1 species